UAAUGCUUUGAAAUGGGGUUACAGAUGAACCACCUAAGCACCCUGCUGGAGGUAUCAGAGAGCCUCUCACCUGCUUUUGAGGGAUAGUAACUGACAUGGAAGACGGAGACUUGUGAUGAUCAAAGAACCCAGAGGUUUUCUGCAAGAACUGACUUCUACAAGAAACUGAGAAAGAACUGAAGCAGGGGAAGGAGUCGAAUCUCCAGGCAUAGGGAAAAUGACAAGAGGGUAAAGAAAUCAUGGCUGGUCCAGGGACCUGUGAGUAGCCGAAUACUGGGGCUCAAGGUUAGCUAAGGAAGUGACAAAUGACGCUGGAGAGGUUUGCUAGGACAAGCCAUGAAGGGUUUGUUCACUAUCCAUGUCAUUUGAAUUUUAUGGGGAGUCUUUGUAAAAGUGACGUGAAGAGAUUUUCAUGUUGGAAAGAUGACUAACUGCAUCGUAGAAUUAACGUGAAAGGGUGGCCCAAGGAAGCAAGUUUCUUCACAGCUAUUGCAAUAAACAGGGUCUACUGGAGACCUUGGCUUUUUAUUUCCCUGACACAACUUCACACUGCUGGAGCAAUGCUCGGAUUGCUCUGGAAACACUGGCAAAUCUCAAGAUGCACUUCAGCCUUCUCCAUGAUGAGUGUGAGUCCCUAGGCUGUCUCUCAAACUAAAGAUUCCCCAGCCAGGCCACUCUAAAGAGUCUUCGACAAGGCAACAUGAUUACUCUGUGUGCUUAGAAGAUGAGGGGUUAUAAAUGUCAGCUGUUGCUCUUUGAAUCCUGCUAAUUCAUUCAUUGAUUCACUCAUCUUUCCCACAGGCAUGUGCUGUGCGUUUACUGUACUGCAUGACACUGUGGAGGUUAUAAAGAAAUAAAAUACUUGGGACUUA